rnacentral:misc_RNA from 1 species
GAAAUGCGAUAAGUAAUGUGAAUUGCAGAAUUCAGUGAAUCAUCGAAUCUUUGAACGCACAUUGCGCCCAGCAGUAAUCUGCUGGGCAUGCCUGUCCGAGCGUCAUUUCAGCCCUCGAGCCGCUAUUUUGUGGUUCGGUGUUGGGGCGCUACAGGGGGGUCUCGACCCCCCGGUAGGCUCCGAAAUGUAGUGGCGGUCCCGCCGCGGCGCCCCCUGCGUAGUAGUAGUCUUUUUGCUCGCAUCGGGUCCCGGCGGAGGCUAGCCGUCGAACCUCUCAGAGAAAAAAGGUUUGACCUCGGAUCAGGUAGGGUUACCCGCUGAACUUAA